rnacentral:piRNA from 1 species
GGAAAAACGACACGGGAGCUGGCCAAG